GGGUAUGAAGGCAAUCUGCUUGCUACAUCUGUCACCCCACUGAUGGCCUAGGUUGAUUUGGCUGCUCUGGCUGGCUAGGCAGGUGUUCCCUUCCUCCCUCACUGUUCCAUGAGCUUCCCUCCUUAGUGAGACCACUCCUGUUAAAGGUGGAAUGUUUCCUUGAGUAAAUGAGGAGCUGCACUCCCCUGCUAGAACCUCCAAACAAGCUCUAGUUUAAAAAGAUGACAGGUCUUUUUUUUUUUCCUACCCCACAAUCAGUACUGGGGAUUGAA
rnacentral:snRNA from 1 species